rnacentral:rRNA from 1 species
UAUGUGAUCGUCUCUCGCAUAUCAAUAAGCGGAGGAAAAGAAACUAACAAGGAUUCCCCUAGUAACGGCGAGUGAAGCGGGAAGAGCUCAAAUUUGAAAUCUUAAAGGGUUUCCCUUUACGAAUUGUAGUUUAAAGAAGUGUUUUCUGUUGAGGUUUUGGUAAAAGUUCUUUGGAAUAGGACAUCAUAGAGGGUGAGAAUCCCGUAUUUGACCUUUACUUUCAGCUUUGUGAUACACUUUCAAAGAGUCGGAUUGUUUGGGAAUGCAGUCCAAAAUGGGUGGUAAAUUUCAUCUAAAGCUAAAUAUUGGCGAGAGACCGAUAGCGAACAAGUACCGUGAGGGAAAGAUGAAAAGAACUUUGAAAAGAGAGUUAAACAGUACGUGAAAUUGUCAAAAGGGAAGCGUUUGACACCAGUGUUGUUUUUCUGAAAAUCAAUUAAAGAACUGUUUAUGCUAAGCUGUUUAGACUUUAUCAGCUAUCUGUUUAGUUUUGAGCUUUUCUUUAGUGCACUUUUCAGUUAACAAGUCAACAUCAAUUUCUUUUGCUGUAAAAAAGCUUGAGGAAGGAUGGCUUGAGAUUCGUCUUAAGUGUUUAUAGCCUCUUGCCUAUGCAGUCGGAGAGAUUGAGGUCUGCAGCGUAGAUCCUUCGGGGCUAAAUGCAUUUGUGCUAAGUUAUAGCAUUUUAUAGACAACUUGUUGACUAUGAUUUGUCUUGUAGCUUACUCGCUUAUGUUAUUUUACCUACGCUUAGGAUGUUGAUCUACAGAGCGAGAGU